ACUCCUACGGGAGGCAGCAGUGGGGAAUAUUNCAAUGGACGAAAGUCUGANGCAGCCAUGCCGCGUGUGUGAAGAAGGCCUUAGGGUUGUAAAGCACUUUCAAUGGGGAGGAAAGGUUGUAAGUUAAUACCUNGCAAGCGUGANNGUACCCNUACAAGAAGCCCGGNUNACU
rnacentral:rRNA from 1 species